UACGAAGGGGGCUAGCGUUGCUCGGAAUCACUGGGCGUAAAGCGCACGUAGGCGGAUCUUUAAGUCAGGGGUGAAAUCCUGGAGCUCAACUCCAGAACUGCCUUUGAUACUGGGGAUCUCGAGUCCGGAAGAGGUGAGUGGAACUCCGAGUGUAGAGGUGAAAUUCGUAGAAAUUCGGAAGAACACCAGUGGCGAAGGCGGCUCACUGGUCCGGUACUGACGCUGAGGUGCGAAAGCGUGGGGAGCAAACAGG
rnacentral:rRNA from 1 species